AGUAAAAGUCGUAACAAGGUUUCCGUAGGUGAACUUGCGGAAGGAUCAUUAUUGAACACCUUUCAGGGGAAUCCCCUUUGCGGGGGGUUCCCCGUCCACACCAAACCCCUGUGCACCUUUCUCGACGGGAAAUGCGGCUUUGCGGCCGCAAAGUACCGUCGCCGUCUCACAAACGCUCUGUAAACGUACAUGGAAUGCAUACGCGGUGCUCCGCGACUAAAACACAAAACAACUUUCAACAACGGAUCUCUUGGCUCUCGCAUCGAUGAAGAACGCAGCGAAAUGCGAUAAGUAAUGUGAAUUGCAGAAUUCAGUGAAUCAUCGAAUCUUUGAACGCACCUUGCGCCCCUUGGCAUUCCGAGGGGCAUGCCCGUUUGAGUGUCUUGAAUUCAUCCUCCCGCCGGUUUCGCGACCGGUCGGGCUGGGACUUGGGGGUUUUGCAACCGCUCUUCGGCGGAGGCUCCCCUUGAAUGCAUCGGUGGGAUUUUGCCGGGUUCGCGUCCCUUGGGCGUUGUAUUGUCCUCGUCCGCAGCGGAUUGCCCCGGCGUCGCCCGCCUAGACCUUGCCUUUCGGAGAGGCGGUCAACAGGCGGCUUUCGUUCCGUCUUGAAAUCUGACCUCAAAUCGGGUAGGACUACCCGCUGAACUUAAGCAUAUCAAUAAGCGGAGGAAAAGAAACUAACAAGGAUUCCCCUAGUAACUGCGAGUGAAGCGGGAAGAGCUCAAAUUUGAAAUCUGGCGGCUCCGUCGUCCGAGUUGUAACCUGGAGAAGCGUCUUCCGCGC
rnacentral:rRNA from 1 species